UCGAGAAUCUUCCGCAAUGGACGAAAGUCUGACGGAGCGACGCCGCGUGGUGGAUGAAGUCCUUAGGGACGUAAACACCUUUUAUGAAGGAGAAAGUAUAUUGAUGUUACUUCAUGAAUAAGGGGCUCCCAAUUCUGUGCCAGCAGGAGCGGUAAUACAGAAGCCCCAAGCGUUACCCGGAUUUACUGGGCGUAAAGGAUGCGUAGGCGGUUAUAUUAGUCGGGUGUUAAAUCCUGGGGCUCAACCUCAGGCUCGCAUUCGAAACGGUAUAACUAGAAGGAAUGAGAGGUGAACAGAACUCACGGUGUAGGGGUGAAAUCCGUUGAUAUCGUGGGGAAUACCAAAUGCGAAGGCAGUUCACUGGCAUUUUCUUGACGCUGAGGCAUGAAAGCGUGGGUAG
rnacentral:rRNA from 1 species